AACGAACGCUGGCGGCAGGCUUAACACAUGCAAGUCGAACGGGUGCAGCAAUGCAUCAGUGGCAGACGGGUGAGUAACACGUGGGAACCUUCCUCGGGGUACGGAACAACUCAGGGAAACUUGAGCUAAUACCGUAUACGUCCGUGAGGAGAAAGAUUUAUCGCCCUGAGACGGGCCCGCGUCGGAUUAGCUAGUUGGUGGGGUAACGGCCUACCAAGGCGACGAUCCGUAGCUGAUCUUAGAGGAUGAUCAGCCACACUGGGACUGAGACACGGCCCAGACUCCUACGGGAGGCAGCAGUGGGGAAUCUUGGACAAUGGGCGCAAGCCUGAUCCAGCCAUGCCGCGUGAGUGAAGAAGGUCUUCGGAUUGUAAAGCUCUUUUGCCAGGGACGAUAAUGACGGUACCUGGAGAAUAAGCCCCGGCAAACUUCGUGCCAGCAGCCGCAGUAA
rnacentral:rRNA from 1 species